UCCUUGGUGGUCUAGUGUCUAAGACUCUGAACUGCCAAUGCAGGGGCCCAGGAUUUGAUCCCUGGUCAGGGAA
rfam:Ovis aries breed Texel chromosome 4, whole genome shotgun sequence.